rnacentral:rRNA from 1 species
UCCCAGACUCCUACGGGAGGCAGCAGUGGGGGAUAUUGGACAAUGGGGGGAACCCUGAUCCAGCGACGCCGCGUGAGUGAAGAAGUAUUUCGGUAUGUAAAGCUCUAUCAGCAGGGAAGAAAAGAAUGACGGUACCCGAAUAAGAAGCCCCGGCUAACUACGUGCCAGCAGCCGCGGUAAUACGUAGGGGGCAAGCGUUAUCCGGAUUUACUGGGUGUAAAGGGAGCGCAGACGGCAAUGCAAGCCUGGAGUGAAAGGCGGGGGCCCAACCCCCGGGACUGCUCUUGGAACUGCGCGGCUGGAGUGCAGGAGGGGCAGGCGGAAUUCCUGGUGUAGCGGUGA